GGGGCCAUAGCUCAGUUGGGAGAGCGUCGCGUUCGCAAUGCGAAGGUCGCCGGUUCGAUCCCGGCUGGCUCCA
rnacentral:tRNA from 1 species